rnacentral:rRNA from 1 species
CAAUAGCGUAUAUUUAAGUUGUUGCAGUUAAAAAGCUCGUAGUUGGAUUUCGGGUAGGAUUUGCCGGUCCGUCUUUGAGAUGUGUACUGGUAAGUCCUAUCUUCUUGUCGGGGACCAGCUCCUGGGCUUCACUGUCCGGGACUGGGAGCCGACGAAGUUACUUUGAGUAAAUUAGAGUGUUCAAAGCAAGCCUACGCUCUGAAUAUAUUAGCAUGGAAUAACACGAUAGGACUCUGGCUUAUCUUGUUGGUCUGUGAGACCAGAGUAAUGAUUAAGAGGAACAGUCGGGGGCAUUCGUAUUCCAUUGUCAGAGGUGAAAUUCUUAGAUUUAUGGAAGACGAACAUCUGCGAAAGCAUUUGCCAAGGAUGUUUUCAUUGA